UUGAAAUGAGCCACUUUAAUGAGCCUAAAAUAUGGAUAGAAGGUAGGAAAACAAGAUUUAUAUUCAGUGCUUUUAUUUAAGUUGUUUUAAUUCAAUAAAGCCCCAUGGGGCCCAUCGAGUGUAAUGUCCUAUAUGGACUAUUAGUUAGUCAGUUCUACUCCAUGUUGGAGUUAGAAGUCUAGUCCUAAUUCUAUUUGAAGUCCUAGUUGUAGUAGGAGUGUCUAACCCUAUUUGGAAACUAGCUCCUAGUCAAGGUAUGAUUGUAAUUCUGUCCUCUUUAAAUAGAGGAGCCUAUACACUGAUAUUUCUUAUAUUUGAAUAAAGAAGAUUUACAAUCAGUUGCUUAGAGCAGCCGGGAUAGCUGUGAGUGAGAAGCCUGGGCCGAGAUAGCCACCUCCUCUCCCACUUCCCUUGUUUCUUCUUUAUUUUAAUCACUUUAUUUCCUUUUUAUUUUCUGUUUACUGUUAUUUGAAGUUCAGACCUGUUAAAGCAUUCAAAAUCAUAAUAAGCUAGCCAAAAAGUUCUUGUUCUUGAAGCCAAUCGACCCUCAUUGUUGCCCAAGUCUGAGAUUUGAUCUGUAGAUCCUUUGGAGGACUGGUUCUAUACUCUAGGAAGAUCAAUCGAUCCUCUCUUGAAGAUUAUUUGAAAAAGACAAGUUGUUGUUCCUGCAGAAUUCUUCACAUUCUCUCUCUUAGGUCUGAAAAUCAAGAAAGUGCAUAACUCCAUAACCAGCCGUCAGAAGUUCUUUAUAUUUGGAGAUUUUUGUACCCUUGGUGGGCCCUACAAUCGACCAAAUUUAUAGCUCAAUUGGAGCCCUAUAGACUUGGCCGCACCUUUCUCUCUCCUAUCGGGUUGGGUUUUGGGCUGGUUUUGCUCCUGUAUGGGUAUUAUAUCAUUGUGGGUUUAUUUGAUGGCCUUAUUUCCUUGUUUCCUGGUCUUAUUUAUGGUUUUAUUUCUUAAGUAUCUUUGAUUAUAAUUCCACCCAUGGAGGUUGUUAAUUUUUGGGAUCUAUUUUGUUGGGUCUUGUGUGGGUUAUUAAGUUCUGUGGGUCAUAAGUUAUUGGGUUAUAACCUGCUGGGGGUAGUUUAUUUCUUGUAAUCUCUGGGUUCCCCCAAUAGUUCCGACCUAGGAAAAUAAGUGUUGAUGAGUAGGUUCUUGCAUUUAACAUUGUUGAUUCAACAUUGACAUAGUGGCAUCCCUUAGGAAUUAGACUGGUGUCAUACCAUUAAGUAAUAGUUGGAGUCUACGUUCGGGUAUCUGGUGUCUGGCAUUCCAUUCCUAGUGCUACAUAGUGUUUGAUAGUUUUAUCAGAAGGCAAAGCUUUUACCUCUUGAUAUCAUUUUCAACACUUUCAAGUAAGAAGCCUGAAAGACCUUUUUUCAUAUGCAAAUUGUUGACUUGAGGAAGUGGAUGCAGAAUAAGUGAAUUACAUCGUUUUUGUAUGUACUUUGUUUCUGGUCAAUGAAGAAUGACAAAAUGCAAAAUGACAGGCCAUGAUGAAAGAUCCGUUCGCAAAUUAUGUGGUACAGAAGGUACUAGAGACUUGUGAUGAUCAGAGCCGGGAGUUGAUUCUCUCGCGCAUCAAGGUCCACUUGAAUGCCCUUAAGAGAUAUACUUAUGGUAAACAUAUCGUUGCGCGUGUUGAAAAGCUCAUCACAGCGGGAGAAAGACGCAUGGGCAUCUCAUCUUCACAUUCUUAAGGACCAAUGGAAGGAAAAGGUGACACAUCCUUGUACAGCUAACAGGGCUGCUAGUCGUAGCAUAUCAGCCUGAGUCUUUAUUUCUUCCAAGAACGUGUUGAAGAACAGAGGCAGUAGAGUUUAGUGUUAGUAUAACUUAGCUUUAAAUAUUUGUAAAUAAAGGAAAAGAUAUAGGCCCACUGUAAUAAGAUUUUGGUUCUCCCCCAACCUCCCAACAUGUAUAUUCGGCACAGUGUUGUAAUUUGAUUACGACGAAGAGAGCAUCUAUGAGGAAGGGUCAUACUUAGGUUUAGGCAAUAGAGGUCACAGGCAGGGUGAUACCCAGAUGCUGUGCCUUCCAAGAUAAAUGUACAACGUCCACAAGAAUCUGUAAAGAAAUCCACUUGAGUAACCAGUUAAUGGAACGGUAAAGAACAGUGUCUGUGCCGUUCGGUCGUGAGGUCCUAGUCUUGUGUCUCAAGAGUGUUUAUUAAUAAAUAUUUUUACCUCUUC